rnacentral:rRNA from 1 species
AUACGUAGGGGGCAAGCGUUGUCCGGAUUUACUGGGUUUAAAGGGUGCGUAGGCUGUUCGCUAAGUCAGCGGUGAAAUGGCGCGGCUCAACCGUGCAGCUGCCGUUGAAACUGGCGGGCUUGAGUGGGUUCGAGGCAGGCGGAAUGCGCGGUGUAGCGGUGAAAUGCAUAGAUAUCAGAUAGAACACCAAUGGCGAAGGCAGUCAACUGGUCCGUUACUGACGCUAAAGCACGAAAGUGUGGGGAGC